CACGUAGGGCGCAAGCGUUGUCCGGAAUUAUUGGGCGUAAAGAGCUCGUAGGCGGUCUGUUGCGUCCGCUGUGAAAACCCGGGGCUUAACCCCUGGCUUGCAGUGGAUACGGACAGACUAGAGGUAGGUAGGGGAGAAUGGAAUUCCCGGUGUAGCGGUGAAAUGCGCAGAUAUCGGGAGGAACAUCAGUGGCGAAAGCGGCUUCCUGGACCAGAACUGACGAUCAGGCUCGAAAGCGUGGGGAGCAAACAGG
rnacentral:rRNA from 1 species